GACAGAGGGGGCAAGCGUUGCUCGGAAUUACUGGGCGUAAAGGGCGCGUAGGCGGGAUGGCAAGUCGGUCGUGAAAUCCUUCGGCUCAACCGAAGAACGUCGAUCGAUACUGCUGUUUUUGAGGGUUGCAGAGGAGACUGGAAUUUACGGUGUAGCGGUGAAAUGCGUAGAUAUCGUAAGGAAGACCAGUGGCGAAGGCGGGUCUCUGGACAGUUCCUGACGCUGAGGCACGAAGGCCAGGGGAGCAAACGGG
rnacentral:rRNA from 1 species